rnacentral:rRNA from 1 species
UUGACGGUACCCUACUAGAAAGGAGCCGCUAACUUCGUGCCAGAAGCGUCGGUAAUACGGGGGCUCCAAGCGUUAUCCGGUGUUAUUGGGCGUAAAGAGUCGUGUAGGUGGUUGGGUAAGUUAUCUUUCAAAUAUCUUUGCUUAACAAAGAGGAGGGGGAUAAUACUGCUCGACUAGAAUUUUCUCAAGGGAGAUCGGAACUGAGGGAGGAGUAGUGAAAUGCGUUGAUACCCUCGGGAACACCAGUGGCGUAGGCGGAUCUCUGGGAGAAGAUUGACACUGAGACACGAAAGCUAGGGGAGCGAAGCAGAUUAGAGACCUGCGUAGUCCUAGCCGUAAACGCAUGCUUGCUAGCUGCAUGAAUCUACCUUCGGGUGGUAUCGUGUGGCGAAGGUAACCCGUUAAGCAAGCCGCCUGGAAAGUACGGCCGCAAGGCUGAAAUUCAAAGGAAUUGGCGGGGAGGCACACAACCAGUGGAACAUGUGGUUUAAUUCGAGACUAACCGAAGAACCUCACCAGGGUUUGACAUGUAGCUGCACGUCUUAAGAAAUUAAGACUCUCUUGAAGGUGCUACACAGGUGCUGCAUGGCUGUCGUCAGCUCGUUCCGUGAGGAGUGCCCUUAAGUGGGACAACGAGCGCAACCCCUAUUACAUGUUAGAAAUGUCAUGUAAGACUGCCUUGCCAUUUGGCGGGGAGGAAGGAGGGGCAGACGUCAAGUCCGCAUGGUCCUUAUGCCCUGGGCUACACACAUGUUACAAUGAGUACGGCAAUGAGUCUGUCGCGAGCACGUGAGUGUAAGCUAAUCUCUUAAAUGUACUCUCAGUGGGGAUUGAGGUCUGCAACUCGACCUCAUGAACACGGAAUUGGUAGUAAUCGCGGGUCAGCUAUACCGCGGUGAAUACGUUCUUGCCUCUUGCACACACCGCCCGUCAAACCAGCAAAGU